UACGUAGGGGCCUAGCGUUGUCCGGAUUUAUUGGGCGUAAAGAGCUCGUAGGCGGUUCGGUAAGUCAGGUGUGAAAUCUCCACGCUCAACGUGGAGGGGCCACCUGAUACUGCCGUGACUCGAGUCCGGUAGGGGAGUGUGGAAUUCCCGGUGUAGCGGUGAAAUGCGCAGAUAUCAGGAGGAACACCGGUGGCGAAGGCGGGUCUCUGGACAGUUCCUGACGCUGAGGCACGAAGGCCAGGGGAGCAAACGGG
rnacentral:rRNA from 1 species